rnacentral:rRNA from 1 species
GAAUGAGAAGAUUCAGUAUCUUUCAUUUGGUCGACCAUUACAUUAUUUAUGUGAUAAUUUUUAAUAUCUUGUAUAUUAAUAUUACACUAAUAUGUUUUGAGAUUUGGCUAUGGAGAUAUGCACUUCUUCUCUAGUAGGACGUUGCAACCCAUUGGAUGUUAAUCUAAGGUCCCUUAUGGUAGCCUAUUUUAUAUAUAUUUCGGUAUAUGUGAUUUAGACCUUAGGUGUUUGCCUGAUUAACUUGUUCGAUGGUAUGUCUUUAUAAUAUGGAGUCGCCUAUAUGGCAUUUAACUUUUUUUCAAGUGUGUAUGGAUUAAAUUUUGGCUAUCAGACCUAGUCUGGUACUGAAACCAUUACCACUGUUUGAAAAUUAUGUUGUAAUUAAAUUGACUCUUCUAUAUAGGUUAGCAACGCUUUU